rnacentral:rRNA from 1 species
CUAAUACCGUAUACGCCCUACGGGGGAAAAAUUUAUUGCUAUUAGAUGAGCCUAUAUUAGAUUAGCUAGUUGGUGGAGUAAUAGCCUACCAAGGCAAUGAUCUAUAGCUGAUCUGAGAGGAUGAUCAGCCACACUGGAACUGAGAUACGGUCCAGACUCCUACGGGAGGCAGCAGUGGGGAAUAUUGGACAAUGGGCGAAAGCCUGAUCCAGCCAUGCCGCAUGAGUGAAGAAGGCCUUUGGGUUGUAAAGCUCUUUUAGUGAGGAAGAUAAUGACGGUACUCACAGAAGAAGUCCUGGCUAACUCCGUGCCAGCAGCCGCGGUAAUACGGAGAGGGCUAGCGUUAUUCGGAAUUAUUGGGCGUAAAGGGCGCGUAGGCGGAUUAGUAAGUUAAAAGUGAAAUCCCAAGGCUCAACCUUGGAAUUGCUUUUAAAACUGCUAAUCUAGAGAUUGAAAGAGGAUAGAGGAAUUCCUAGUGUAGAGGUGAAAUUCGUAAAUAUUAGGAGGAACACCAGUGGCGAAGGCGUCUAUCUGGUUCAAAUCUGACGCUGAGGCGCGAAGGCGUGGGGAGCAAACAGGAUUAGAUACCCUGGUAGUCCACGCUGUAAACGAUGAAUGUUAAAUAUGGGAAGUUUUACUUUCUGUAUUACAGCUAACGCGUUAAACAUUCCGCCUGGGGACUACGGUCGCAAGAUUAAAACUCAAAGGAAUUGACGGGGACCCGCACAAGCGGUGGAGCAUGUGGUUUAAUUCGAUGCAACGCGAAAAACCUUACCACUCCUUGACAUGGAAAUUAUACCUAUUCGAAGGGAUAGGGUCGGUUUGGCCGGGUUUCACACAGGUGUUGCAUGGCUGUCGUCAGCUCGUGUCGUGAGAUGUUGGGUUAAGUCCCGCAACGAGCGCAACCCUCAUCCUUAGUUACCAUCAGGUAAUGCUGGGGACUUUAAGGAAACUGCCAGUGAUAAACUGGAGGAAGGUGGGGAUGAUGUCAAGUCAUCAUGGCCCUUAUGGAGUGGGCUACACACGUGCUACAAUGGUGGCUACAAUGGGCUGCAAAGUCGCGAGGCUAAGCUAAUCCCUUAAAAGCCAUCUCAGUUCGGAUUGUACUCUGCAACUCGAGUGCAUGAAGUUGGAAUCGCUAGUAAUCGUGGAUCAGCACGCCACGGUGAAUACGUUCCCGGG